rnacentral:rRNA from 1 species
AUACGUAGGGUGCGAGCGUUGUCCGGAAUUACUGGGCGUAAAGAGCUCGUAGGUGGUUUGUCGCGUCGUCUGUGAAAUUCCGGGGCUUAACUCCGGGCGUGCAGGCGAUACGGGCAUAACUUGAGUACUGUAGGGGAGACUGGAAUUCCUGGUGUCGCGGGGAAAUGCGCAGAUAUCAGGAGGAACACAGGUGGCGAAGGCGGGUCUCUGGGCAGUAACUGACGCUGAGGAGCGAAAGCAUGGGUAGCGAACAGGAUUAGAUACCCUGGUAGUCCAUGCCGUAAACGGUGGGCGCUAGGUGUAGGGGUCUUCCACGACUUCUGUGCCGUAGCUAACGCAUUAAGCGCCCCGCCUGGGGAGUACGGCCGCAAGGCUAAAACUCAAAUGAAUUGACGGGG